rnacentral:misc_RNA from 1 species
GAUGAAGAACGCAGCGAAAUGCGAUAGGUAAUGUGAAUUGCAGAAUUCAGUGAAUCAUCGAAUCUUUGAACGCACAUUGCGCCCUUUGGUAUUCCUUAGGGCAUGCCUGUUCGAGCGUCACUACACACCUUAUCACAAUAUUUGUGGUCUUGGCAGGAGUGAAUUGCUGGACUAUGGAAGUAUUCCAGCAGUACACAAUGCUAAAAAAUAUGGGAAGGUUACCAGAUAUGAACAACAGACUUUGUAAAUGGUUGUAGGACCUAGAUCAGUCACAAGUCAUGUCUGGUCCCUUACCUUAAGGACCCCCAUCCUAGAUGAACUAUGGGUUGACCUCGGAUCAGGUAGGAAUACCCGCUGAACUUAAGCAUAUCAAUAAGCGGAGGA